GAUGAACGCUAGCGGCAGGCUUAAUACAUGCAAGUCGAACGGGAUCCGAGGUAGCAAUACUUUGGUGAGAGUGGCGCACGGGUGCGUAACGCAUCGGAACGUAUCCCGUAGUGGGGGACAACCCAGCGAAAGCUGGGCUAAUACCGCAUAUGCUCUACGGAGGAAAGUGGGGGACCCGCAAGGGCCUCACGCUAUGGGAGCGGCCGAUGUCCGAUUAGCUAGUUGGUGGGGUAAAGGCCUACCAAGGCGAAGAUCGGUAGCUGGUCU
rnacentral:rRNA from 1 species